rnacentral:rRNA from 1 species
GACGAACCGUGCGAACGUUAUUCGGAAUCACUGGGCUUAAAGCGCGUGUAGGCGGAUGAGCACGUCUGUCGCUGAAAUCCCCCGGCUCAACCGGGGAACGGGCGCGGAUACGGCUGGUCUGGAGGGGCGUAGGGGGACCUGGAACUUCCGGUGGAGCGGUGAAAUGCGUUGAGAUCGGAAGGAACGCCCGUGGCGAAGGCGGCCCCCUGGUUGGAUACUGACGCUGAGACGCGAAAGCGUGGGGAGCAAACAGG